rnacentral:rRNA from 1 species
AACGAACGCUGGCGGCAUGCCUAACACAUGCAAGUCGAACGAGACCUUCGGGUCUAGUGGCGCACGGGUGCGUAACGCGUGGGAACCUGCCCUUAGGUUCGGAAUAACUCCCCGAAAGGGGUGCUAAUACCGGAUAAUGUCUUCGGACCAAAGAUUUAUCGCCUUUGGAUGGGCCCGCGUUGGAUUAGCUAGUUGGUAGGGUAAAAGCCUACCAAGGCGACGAUCCAUAGCUGGUCUGAGAGGAAGAUCAGCCACACUGGGACUGAGACACGGCCCAGACUCCUACGGGAAGCAGCAGUGGGGAAUAUUGGACAAUGGGCGAAAGCCUGAUCCAGCAAUGCCGCGUGAGUGAUGAAGGCCUUAGGGUUGUAAAGCUCUUUUACCCGGGAUGAUAAUGACAGUACCGGGAGAAUAAGCUCCGGCUAACUCCGUG